UUUCAGGGCUGUCCAUUGUGCACUGGAAAACCAAGAAGGGUGCUCAUCUGUCACGGACCGGGAUUUUCGCGGGGUCCCUGUUCCGCGGGACACAGGAUUCUGGCCAGACGGAGCUCUAAAAUGUCUCGCCUCAUCGUGGCUAGGGAUCUCAGAAGAACUUUAAAGGCAAAUGGAAGCACAAUAAUUACUAUUAAGACAAUGUCAGUAAUAACAGCAAUCAAGAUUAUAUAUUGAACCCAGUCUAAGGGA